GGCCUUGUAGCUCAGCUGGUAGAGCAGUGGACUGAAAAUCCAUGUGUCACAGGUUCAAAUCCUGUCAAGGCCA
rnacentral:tRNA from 1 species